CAAUGAAGGUAGCAUGGUAAGGUGCACAGAAAUUGAAUCUUAUGGGUUGACAUGUCUGCCCCUCUGAUGCCUCUACUGGAGGCUUUGAUUUUGGGGCCUGGUUAUGACCCACAUUU